UACAGAGACUGCAAGCGUUGUUCGGAUUCACUGGGCGUAAAGGGUGCGCAGGCGGCCGGAUGUGUCGGGUGUGAAAGCUCGAGGCUUAACCUCGAAACUGCGCCCGAAACUAUCCGGCUAGAGUACUGGAGAGGGAAGCGGAAUUCACGGUGUAGCAGUGAAAUGCGUAGAUAUCGUGAGGAACACCAAUGGCGAAGGCAGCUUCCUGGA
rnacentral:rRNA from 1 species